rnacentral:sRNA from 1 species
AACUAAAAAUAUAGAGAGAGUUAUCUCACGUGAUUGUUCACAGUCAGUUACAGACUGAACUCCUUGUUCUACUACUUUUUCCCCUCCUCACUACUGCACUUGACUAGUCUUAA